rnacentral:misc_RNA from 1 species
GAUGAAUAACGCAGCGAAAUGCGAUAAGUAGUGUGAAUUGCAGAAUUCAGUGAAUCAUCGAAUCUUUGAACGCACAUUGCGCCUCCUGGUAUUCCGGGAGGCAUGCCUGUUCGAGCGUCAUUAAAAUCACUCAAGCUUAGGUUUACCUAUUGCUUGGUCUUGGAGAUGGAAGCCAAUUCAUUGGAAUCCUCUUCGAAAUCCAAUGGCGAAGACCCUUGCUCUCCCAAGUGUAGUAAUAACUUAUGUCACUGAAGGAAGCGAGAAAUCUUCCGCCGUAACCCCCAUAUUUUCUAUGAUUGACCUCGGAUCAGGUAGGGAUACCCGCUGAACUUAAGCAUAUCAAUAAGCGGAGGA